AAGUGACUGGAGGAGUUUGUAUUUGAUGUGCGGCGGUCGCUGCGGCGGUGGGCGUCGCCGUAAAAGUUGGUCACUGGGGCAAGUUUUUUUCGACCCGAGGGCCAAAUGGGUUCAAGAAUGGAAUAGGGUUUUCCUCCUGGUAUGCGCGACGGGACUGUUCGUGGACCCAUUGUUCUUUUACGCCCUGUCCAUUAGCGACACGUGCAUGUGCCUCUUCGUGGACGGGUGGUUCGCCAUCACCGUGACGGCGCUCCGGUGCAUGACUGACGCGUUGCACGUGUGGAACAUGUGCCUCCAGCUCAAAAUGAUCAAGAGAUCAUCGUCGUCGUACAGUCGCGGCAAUGACA
rnacentral:lncRNA from 1 species